GAUGAAGAACGCAGCGAAAUGCGAUACGUAGUGUGAAUUGCAGAAUUCAGUGAAUCAUCGAAUCUUUGAACGCACAUUGCGCCCGCCAGUAUUCUGGCGGGCAUGCCUGUUCGAGCGUCAUUUCAACCCUCAAGCCCCCGGGCUUGGUGUUGGGGAUCGGCGUGCCCUCGCGGCGCGCCGUCCCCUAAAUCUAGUGGCGGUCUCGCUGUAGCUUCCUCUGCGUAGUAGCAACACUCGCACUGGAUCGCAGCGCGGCCACGCCGUUAAACCCCCCACUUCUGAAAGUUUGACCUCGGAUCAGGUAGGAAUACCCGCUGAACUUAAGCAUAUCAAUAAGCGGAGGA
rnacentral:misc_RNA from 1 species